ACUGGCAGCCAUAUCACCCUGUAGCCCAAGACUGGUUGCCCACUGAAGCUAAGCAGGGUUGAGCCUGUUCAGUACCUGGAUGGGAGACCUCCUGGGAAAACUAGGUUGCUGCUGGAA
rnacentral:rRNA from 1 species